ensembl:lncRNA LINC00710 long intergenic non-protein coding RNA 710
AGAGUCCAAGGUGUUCUGUGGCCUCUCGGCCAAUCCCAGCAGCUCAGCGUGCAGAAGACCGAGGAGCCAUUGGAAUUCAACACAACACGAAAUAAUCAACAAAUUCGGGGAAUGUUAAUCUGACCAUCACCAGUUACAAAUGAUGUUUCAUGCUACCUUCUAUUCCUGCCUUCAUAAAUCAAGGAAAAGAAAAAGAGAACAUAUAUCCCCCUACCUUUUGAUUUCCAACAGUCUACUGAGAGGCCAAGAUUAUUUGCAGGGAAAGAAAAGGGGUCAAAAUGUUUUGCCAGUAACUCCCAAAUCAUCUACAGCCAAGGAGAAAAGUGUUUCAAGACAGAGGUGCUCAAUGGUAUCAAAUACUGCCAACAGACCAAGUAAUACAUGCAUUGAAGUGUCUACUGGAUCUAGCUAUAUGAAUUUUUAAUUUAGGACACUUAGGCCAUACUGAAGCAAGGUGACAAAAUGAAUAGCUACAAUGUCUCGUGAAUCUUGGGUUUCCAUUCACCCUGGUAUUCAAGAGAAAUUCUUGCAUCAUGGAAGUUGCAGUUGGAUAGGACUUUCUCAGCUGAACACUGUCAUCUGCCAGAGCUUCAGGCAAGAACCCAGAACAGAUGAAACCCCAGACAUGACAAAAUAAGCCAAAGAAUACCAGGCCAAGGUGUGAAAGGCCAGAUGAGAACAAGCAGCGUACACGAUUCUGUUGCCAACAGAUCUCCCCUAACAGUGUCGUGCACCAAAUUUCCACAGUGAAUGUCAGGAAAAAAUGGCAAUUGAGGCUGAAGAAAUCUGAAAAAAGGCUGAAAGCUGGAACAACUGAUGGAAUUCUACGAGACUGUACAAACAAACAAACACUAGCAAAAGAAAUAAGCUGGACACAAGGGGAGGAUUCAUCAUCAAAUCAUUACAUGAUUUCAUGUUAAUGUGGGGAAGGGAAAUAUUUGUCAAUGGCUAUGUCUCAAACUGCCCCUGGAGAAGUCGAAAGAAUACCUGAAGCUACAUUAGAAGUACGAUUGAGAAAUCACUGAUAUAUUACUUCUCACUCCUUUAUCGCCAGGCAGUACAGUGAUUGCAAAUUGCAGUUAGAAUGGGAAUGUCGGCAUGUUGUUUAUUUUCAACAUGAUUCGACAUGAGAAUAACAAAAAUUCCUGAAGAAAAAUAAGUAGGCUUAUUACCGAAAUACCACCCACCAAACCUAAGAAGAGAGCAGCCUCUCCCUUGAGUAAUAAACCAGCUACAAAAGAUCAUUCCUGGGGAAUAUACGCGUUGCUGCUUGGUAUUCAAAAUACAGCGCUACUUAAUAGAAUUCCGGGUGCCGACGGUGAUUUCUCAGACAUCUGAAUCAUUUUCAUCUGUGUGAUUACAGCACGGAGUGGGUAUCUUCUGACAACAUAGAGGUGGUCUGCUUCUUAGCUGCUCUACAAAAGUUUGGAAGUCAUUCCUCGUUCCAUUAUUUCAGGAUUGACUUCCUCAGCCCAAACGUGGGUAGACACACAACAAUCUCUCUGCCCACACAUGAUGGGAUGCUCAGGUCUUCAGGGUGGACUUUUUCCAGAGUGAAAGCACAAAGACAAACAAUUUUAGCGGGGAGACACAAACCAGAACACUCGGACAGUUUUAACCCUGAAAACUGGCACAUGAUGGAAAUGUUUCUUUGGGACGUUAUCCAAAGAAUGAAGACCUACAGUAAUUUAAAUAUUUGGAUCACAGUAAACAGUUUUUUUUUGGCAAUAUUAAUCUUGAUCCUAUAAGCAAAGAUUUUCUUUACAUAAAAAAAGCAACCAAAUGUGCUUAUCUCCG